rnacentral:telomerase_RNA from 1 species
ACGCGUGACGCCUCCCCCACAGUCCGCUCUUCGUUUCUCGAAAGAGAUGUCUAUUGCAGACAGCUGUCUUUUUUUGGUUACCCUCCCAUGUGUCGCUCUCGAGCCUGUAACAGGACCUCGUGGAUGCCGCAGCUGGAUCAUGGUGGGUAGCGCGUCCUGUAUAGGUCGUACCAGGCAGAACGAGGUUCGGAACUUAACCCUAAGAAGAUAUCUGGUUACAAAGUUUUGCGCUGUUGUCGCUCAAAUCGUCUUUUAUGCCGUAUAAGCGCCAGAAGUUUGUGACGUGCCCGCUGAAAAGUGGGAGGUUCGACUUCGGCGCUGGUUACAGCGGACAGGCGAGGAGGGCAGUCCAGUCACCUGUUGGUGCGCGAGAGGAUUGGUGCCAUGGGUAGUAUUAAAAUCCUCUGAAGGAUGCCCGUCAGCCCUUUCCACUGGAACCAGCACAUAGGUCAAGAGUAGACUGUCCAGGCGAUGUGAUCAGCCUUGGGUCUUUGGAGAUGGAACUAGCCUGGCUUGCCUAUGGUGCGCAGCUGAGGAGUGGAGCUCUACAUUGGCCACAAACAGUCAGUCUAUGAACUUCACACGACUCCCAAGUUAAUGUCUGUCGGAACCGUCAGCUAGGGUAAUUCCAGCUGGUGCAGUGGACAACUUGUGGAAACAUACAGAAGUUCUUUGACCGAUCCUUAUCGCCAGUCUGAUAGCCCCCGGUCCUCCGAAGCUGUUCUUGCCAUUGUGCAUUACCACACUGGUUCCCAUCCACCCAACCCCUUGGCUCUUUUCGCUCACUGGAUCACACCGUAGCACUCGCUCCUGGUGUGUGACGCUUCGCAUCUGGUCUGACCCAGCGCAUUAACCUCCAGCCAUGGGUCACAAUCCCUUGGCCACGAUGGGCGCCAGCACGCCUGUGAGGGCCAAUAGGUCUCAGCAGGUCCCUCGGAUCAACCGCAAGGCUGGACUUGAGAUGAAAGGGUGGUUUUUAAGGAUGUAUUUUGUCCGCCCGUUAAUGCCCUCCAUACCUCUCGCUGGCGAGAAAUUUGGAGAGGAAUCAAAAACUUGUCCCAGGGGGCAGCGCGAAUCACACAGAAGGAGUUCCCUUGUCAGCGUCGGUGUGUUUCUAGACUGCAUUCUGCCAUGACGGCCUUUCGGCAAAAUCGUGUCGGCGAAGGUAUUAGGCCAUUAUAGAACUGUCGGCUCACAAAACAGUCUUCACCUUUGCAAUCCUCAAUGCUGCGAGCCGAUGCUUGUAGUUGACGUUGGAAGCAGUACCAGGACCCAUCUUGAGUUGGAGUCAAAGUUUCGUGCUUGUCUGGUACUGUGAAUGACCAUUCUACAGAGCUGAAGAUCACGCCUUUGAGUAGCAAUGGUAAGGUGGGUUGUAUUGUUGGAUCUUGGACAGGCCUUGUUGGGUGAGGUAGUCCUGGCUGUCCUCUCUCCUGAAAAUGGUGUGGAGGACAGCCCCCC